UACGAAGGGAGCUAGCGUUGUUCGGAAUCACUGGGCGUAAAGCGCACGUAGGCGGAUGUGUCAGUCAGGGGUGAAAUCCCGGAGCUCAACUUCGGAACUGCCCUUGAUACAGCACGUCUUGAGUCCGAUAGAGGUGGGUGGAAUUCCUAGUGUAGAGGUGAAAUUCGUAGAUAUUAGGAAGAACACCGGGUGGCGAAGGCGGCCCACUGGAUCGGUACUGACGCUGAGGUGCGAAAGCGUGGGGAGCAAACAGG
rnacentral:rRNA from 1 species